GAGUUUGAUCCUGGCUCAGGAUGAACGCUAGCGGCAGGCCUAAUACAUGCAAGUUGAACGAGAUAAGUUGUAGCAAUACGGCUUUGAAAGUGGCGCACGGGUGCGUAACACGUAUGCAACCUACCUUUUACAGGGGGAUAGCCUCUCGAAAGAGAGAUUAAUACCCCAUAAUAUAUUUGUUGGGCAUCUAAUGAAUAUUAAAGCUGAGGCGGUAAAAGAUGGGCAUGCGGCUGAUUAGGUAGUUGGUGAGGUAAUGGCUCACCAAGCCGACGAUCAGUAGGGGGUCUGAGAGGAUGUCCCCCCACACUGGUACUGAGACACGGACCAGACUCCUACGGGAGCAGCAGUAGGGAAUAUUGCACAAUGGGCGCAAGCCUGAUGCAGCGACGCCGCGUGAGGGAUGACGGCC
rnacentral:rRNA from 1 species